rnacentral:rRNA from 1 species
AUUGAACGCUGGCGGCAGGCCUAACACAUGCAAGUCGAACGAGUGGCGGACGGGUGAAUCAUGUCUGGGACCCUGCCUGAUGGAGGGGGAUACCUCCUGGAAACGGUAGCUAAUACCGCAUACCAUCAGAUGUUCCCAGAUGGGAUUCGCUAGUUGGUGGGGUAACGGCUCACCAAGUCGACGAUCCCUAGCUGGUCUGAGAGGAUGACCAGCCACACUGGAACUGAGACACGGUCCAGACUCCUACGGGAGGCAGCAGUGGGGAAUAUUGCACAAUGGGCGCAAGCCUGAUGCAGCCAUGCCGCGUGUAUGAAGAAGGCCUUCGGGUUGUAAAGUACUGUCAGCGGGGAGGCGUUACCCGCAGAAGAAGCACCGGCUAACUCCGUGCCAGCAGCCGCGGUAAUUC